AUGAAUUUUUCUCGCGGAAUUUGUGAAAAGUCGAAAUCCAAAGUCAAUAUCAUUCCUUGUGAUUUUGAUUGCCGUAGAGAGGCUUCAAAUUUUCAGCAAAACUUCCACAUUUGUGAUGCUUCACAGGUGUAUGAAUCAACGUCUUGUUUUAAAGACAAAUUUCAAACUUUCCAUUCGACAAAUUACGCCUUCAGCGUAUGUGAAACCUUAAAUAUUUAUUUCUGAAGGAACGUAACACGGCAUAAUUUGGAAGGCUAUUCAUAGCAUUGUAAAAUCGAGGUUCAACAAAGAAUUUUUUUUGCAUGAAAUCCACGAUUUCAGCUGAAUAAUUUCAUUAAUUUCAUUUCGUUGAGCGCAACGCGCCGCCAGUAGAAUUAGAUACAAUCGAAAUAAGUUAGGAUUAAAUGUUUAAGUUAGUAUGAAGUACCACGAGUACAUUUAGUUUAACUAAGAAUACUAAAGGGUAACAAAAAGUCGGCAUCAAGUGCCCUAAGUUUAAGCUAAGGUUAAAUAGACUAAUUAAUAUAAAAAAAAAUUAAACGCACAUAUUACCACGGAGGAGACCUCGAGACUCCGAUCUCCUCCCUGCUCACUUUACCAAACACGCCGCACACGGGUCCGAAAGAGCAGAAAAGGUCGAACACAUUCUAGUAAUUUCGGAAGUAAAAAAAAAAAAAAGAAAUUCGAGAGCUGAGCCCCAAUCAUUUCUUUAAAAACAAACCUAAAUUCGUAAAUUCCUGUGACGAAAUAGAUACAAAAUUUUAAAAUUAUUCAGCCAACAAUGUAAUAAGCGACCUCUUCUGCUGUUUGCUCAUAUACCACUGUGCGAAGUAAAUCGCGGUAUGUCGACGGCUGCGUCAUUCGAAUCCGUGGAAAAUAAUCGACCAUGAAGGUGCUCAUAUCGCGACCUUCUAUGUGACGCACUCGCGUCAAUACAUUCGAGUGACAGACCGAUCGAUAUAUCGCGAGAAUAAUCACGCCAAUAAGAAGAUGAGAAAAAUGGACUUGUGGUCCAGCUCGGCGCUUGAGGCUGCGAGCAGCAACUACCUACAACGCAAACGCUGAUACAUGCAUUCCGCAUCUGAACAGCGAAAAUAAUAUUCGUUUUACUUGACAGAUGACUCGUUAAAAUAUAAAUAAUUUCGUUUAAAUGCAAAAAAGGUUGUCACGCAGCUUGCACCUGC
rnacentral:lncRNA from 1 species